AACAGUGAGCAUACCAAAUAGUGGGGAACACGUAGAAGAAUAGAAGAAUUAAAGCAAUUGUACCAUGAAGUGGAGCCGACUAUUUCGUCAAUGCUUAAAACGAGGUCACGAGAGCUUAUCAGGGACGACUUUAAAGAUUGUUGUUCAGAUAUAUGUGUACAUUCAAACGUUCCGAAAACACCCCGAUGAGUCACCUGAAGACUGCAAAGUUUAACGGCGUACCCUGCAUGAUAGAAAACGCUAGAUACCGUAUUUAUUCUCGGGCCAUCAGACACUGUUGUCACUAAACUACAGGACAUAUCCCGUUUCUCUAACUGACUGUAUCGUCUUGAAGAACUCACUGUGUUUAAGUUAUGCUGCUUAGUAGUUAUGAAGAGAAACGUUAGAGUAUGAAGUCGAGCACUAUAGGCAAACUACACAUAUAACAAAAAUUACUUUCAAGAGACAAAGGAAAUCAGCAAUUGCAACCAAAAUAAUUUUCUAGAGUAAAGGAAAACUACAAAUAUAUAGCCAUACAAACUUUCCAGUGACAAAUGAAAACAACAUAUUUAACGAAACUUUCUUUAGAGGAACAAGGGAAAAGACCAAUAUAACGAAACAAUCUUUACAUUUAGACCAAAAGAUGUCAUCGAGAGACAAAUGAAAACUACAAAUUUAAUUAAACUAUCUUUCGAUAAAUAAAGACAAAAUAAUAAUGGAAUUUUCUUUCGGUCUGCAGAUAAUACAUAAGAGAGAUCUCCUAUUAAGAAAAUAUAAAUGUUAUAAUGUUAUAACGUUGACUGAAAAUCCAAAAAUAAUGUUGUCGAAUGCAUCGAAAUUAUGAGCGGAAUCAAGUUUACACAAGCAAAUCUGAAUGAGCCGGAAUUCAAAUGAUCGUAACAAUAAGUGAACACGUCUCGUUAGCAACUUUAAAAUAAACACUUGUAACAAAAUUAUAUAGACUCCCUCAAAGAUUGCAUGUUGCAGCUAGUAAACAAGCAAAUUUAAUAGACGUUUUAAUAUUUAAGCUUAAUAAGGAUUGUGGAUAAAUGGCGCUUUUCGGCCACAUAUUUAAAUAUUAAUCAUAAAAACAUAUAUUUUGCAUGUUUUACUUAAGUGUUGCUAUUUGCAACAUGUUCUACCUCUUAAUAUUGGAUCAAAAGUGAAACAUAGUAUAACCUUCAAAACUUAUUUUGUGCCUCUAUAAUUUGUCUAAUUUUCAUUUAUUAAUUCCAUGGUUUAUCCUUUCAUUAUGCUAAUACAGUGUAUAACUUGAUUUAGAAACUGUUAUGUUAAAACUGUUAUACCAGUUCAUUAUUAAUGUCAAUAUAUUAAAGUUUGCAAUAAUAAACACACAUAGCUCAUGGAUUGCAUAGAACUAUAUUAAAUUAAGGUGGGUCGAAUAAUUUGUUUCUGCAAACACCUCAGUAAUUGUUUGGAUUUCGUUCCGCUAUUUCAUCAUGUAACACAGAAAGAAAGAUAGGUUUUUAAGUUAUAUUUAUUUACGUUUCUUAAACGAAUUGUGUCACUGAUUAUUAUUAUUUAAAUCCCACCUAUUACAAGGUAUGGAAUAUGUUUUGUGACUCUUAGAAAUAGAAUACACCUUACGCCUUUGCAGUUGCGUUGGCUGUACCGAACCUGUCAUUGCUGUUAGUGGGAAGUUCUUAUCAAACCUUGUAUACCUUGCGUGUAGAUAUUUCUUCAGAAAGCCCCCUCGCUAGAAUAUGUUUCCAAAAUAGGUUACAGUGUGCCUUUAAUGAUAUAUCAAUACAAACAUAGAACAGUAGUUUUGGUUUUGUCGAAAACCUUGCGGACGCCAUACAUACACACUAAUGCUAUGGAUAUUACAGAUGAAAAUAUAAAUCAGCCCAGUUAAUUUCUUGUGGACUGUCAAGAGAUUGACUUGUCAAUGCACAAGAAAUUCAACAUCGCUGAAUAAUCUUUCGUUUAUUAAAAUAUUUAUUAAAGUAUUGCGCAUUUAAAGAAUUUUAUUGAGAAUCACUCAACAUCACAAAACAACAAAACUUGCUACACAAGCAUCAACACAUAUACCAAUAAAUGCUGACGUUACAAACACAUUGAAGAACACAUUAAAGAAGGGGUUGUUCAAACACUAAAGAUACACCUACGCUUAUUCCAACGGCGUUCUUGAUCAGAAAAUGUUUUUGUCACACGUAGCUUGUCCUUAUUGUUCUAAAUCUGUUGCCCCUUGAAUCACAACACCAAUUCGGAGAAAUUCACGUGCAAUUCAAUAAGAAGUAUCUUUCUGUGUUUUUUUGCUACAUGAGGUUACACACCACCGUUGUCUUUCCGCAAAAGUUCACUGUGAAAUGAUCAUUUAUAGACAACUGUUUAAGCCAUUUAAAAGGCCUUAGUAUAAAACAUUUAAAACAUCCAUUACAUCUUUUGAAUAUUAUUCGUGUACAGUACAGGACUUAAGUUGCGCCACGUACAAAAGCGUUUACAUUCCGAUACAAAACUUUUUCUAUCACAGCCACAUUUUCGGGCUUCAAAAUUGAAGUUAUAUAAAUAUUUAAAGUACAGCUUUAAAUUAACCUUUAAGCCAAAAAACGGAGGGUUAAGUUAUUCCUAAGAGUUUGUUUACCACAUUUAAAAAAACAGACUCUCAAGAAUUGACAUUAUUCCAAGAUGACCUUUCAACUUAAAGGCUUUAAUCUCUACUCUAAACAGAUCCUCAAGGUAUCAAAAUUUUAGAAUUUAUGACUUUUGUUGAAUUACAGUGAUUGAGCAUGUCAAAACAUAUCGAUCAUUCAUAAAAACUGAGAGGUUUUACACAUAAGAAAUAUGACGAAACGGUGACGUCAUAAUAUAUAAGGGCUUCAAGUGGUUGGGGAGCAACCCAUACACUGAUGUACCGUAUCAUCGGGUCUAAACUAUCUUUCUUGUAUGUUCCCUCUUAGAACUGCACAAUCUUCUAUAUGACACUACCUGUUACAAACAACACACCGGUACACCAGACUCAGUAAAAGCAAAACAAUUUACAUUCCGGUCCUCUUGACCGAAUUAUACAUAGAAUUACAAAAAUAAAAAUUGCAAAAUCGUGAUUCAUUCAAGUUCACAAAGCAUAUUUGUUCCUUAAAAAGGGGAAUCAGCUUAUACACAGAAAUAAACCCAUUUCUCGUAGUUAACUUCCUUAUAAUUUUCAAUCAUCAACAUGUUAUCAUGUAAUGUAAUUUCUCUUCAAAGUAGAAAAACGUGUAUUAUUUUAUCAGAUACCAACUUCCAUUCCUUCAAUGAACUGCCUUUCGGCAAUUGCGGUUAUCAUCCGAUGAUAUCGCAAUUCAUUGCAUAACAAUAUACAUGAACAAUGUUGAUCUUGUUAUUGUUUGUUUUGUUUCAGCAAGUCCCGUAAGAAAAAAAUCAACAUUUUAGAAAGUGUUAAUUUAUGAUAUGUUAAAUGUUUUGUUGUUUGUGUUUCAAUUUUACGUUAAAAAGUCAUUUCUAGAGGUUGAUCUUUACCCGUGGUAUUGUGAUGUUAUUUGAUACAAUGUAUCCAGUUACAGUCGGGUCGUUCUAUUUACAGAAUGGGUGAGAAAGGAUAACUGUAAGGUUUCCAUAAAUAAAAUGUAACAUUUUUCAACCAUUCUUGAAUAAAAUAAUGAA